UUUAUGCAAGGCUUGAACUCGUGAACUGCGAGAUCAUGACCUGAGCCCAAGUCGGAUGCUCAACCAAACUGAGCCACCCAGGCGCCCUGACAGCUACCAAUCUCUAAGUGCUGAUUGGACAAUCACCAAGGAAGGAUAUUUCAGGAAGGUCAUGUUUGAUUUUCAAGGCACUUUCACGGCAGAUUGAUUUUCAUUGCAGACUCCAGUGAAAUCACAUAGAUCGGUUCACCAACAACCUACGGAGCCUGAAGUCCUGUUCUUUGUAUCUACUUAAGACAUGAGGAUAGAUAAAAGGGAGUUGGGAAAACAGAGCGGAUGAAUGUGCCCGUUCUCUCAUGGCAGCUUCUGUUCUCGUUCCUCUACAGCUGGGAAGUAGGAUUGAACACUACUGUUGAUUCCACCAAGGAAAAUCCACCCCAUCAACCAGUGUUGACAGGAUUUUUUUCACAAUACUCGGGAUUUGUUGUCUCGCUGCCUCAAAGAAUGAAGAGGUAGACACAAAAUAAGCAGCAGGCCAAAGUUUAUUAGAGUAUAAGAUCAGAGAGGAAGAAUAAUAGGAAAGCUCUCUUUACAGAGAGGGGACAUUCGAGGGUGAAUACCCAUGACUCUAGGCAAGGGUCCUCGUUUUACAAGGUUCUGAUCAGCCCUCCCCUCUCCCUUCCCCCUUGUUCCUUCUCAGGUUCUGCCCUUAUUGGCUUUAUGGUUCUAGGUGCUGGGUUGUCCAUUCCUGCUAGGCUCCUUUCCAUCGUAGGAGGGGUGGUGUGUGGGCACACUUAGGUCUUUUGUAAAAUUCCUGAGGGGAAAUCUGAGGGGGAGUAGGUGGGGUCUGUUACAUUCUUCAGAGGAAUGUAUGCCUGAGGGGGCUUGCUGUGGUCUGACACUCCCAGCAUUGUUCCCAAAUAGGUGUUUUUCCCCACCCUGGGACCUGAGGUCCUAUCCUUUCCCUCUCUGCCUAUCAUACUCUGAUACACAGUGAUGAACCUCACCUCAACUCCUCCUCACCCAUCACUUCAUACAGUCUUCAGGAGUCUAAUUCUGAAGAUGACUUCAUUUGUGCUCAGCAAACGAGAUCCUUAAACUGAAAGAUCCAUACCCUUUACAGGAUGGCAGAUGGGUUUUAAACACUCAAAUUUUAUUUCUGUCACACACAAAAAUGUUAUCAAGCCUAGUAUCUAAAGCACUGCCGGGGAAAGAUUUUAAAUACCCAUUUUGUAAUCUCAGCGACCAAUCAUAUAUGCUCAGAGAUAGAGAAGUCAAGACCAAUGUUUCCGCGUGCUCUCUGACCAGUGGUGGUCAAAGAGGAUCGCCCCUGAUUUCGCAUCUGUGCCAGUCCUUCUCGUUUUGAGCAUUUUUGUCCGUGGAGAUUUAUCAUUAUCCUUCGUUAUUUGGUGUCAGUCCCAACCAUCGUGCUACGGAGGAGACUUUGUCUGCCACUCACCUGCAUGGUCCAUGGAGCCUGCUCUGUACCUGUUGAUGAGGAAGCUAAGUCACAGUAUAAGGAAGCCAGAAAAUGCUACUUCUCUCAUACUUGGCUGAACCCUGAGGAAAAAAAAUACUAUCUUCCUUAAAUCAACCAUAGAAGCAUUUUGCAUUCUUCCUGCCUUUCUUUCCCUUCAAGACAAAUCUUGUCACCUCCUUUUAUUGGAUGGAUUGGAAAUCCAAGACU